UUUGAUCCUGGCUCAGGACGAACGCUGGCGGCGUGCUUAACACAUGCAAGUCGAACGGAAAGGCCUCUUCGGAGGUACUCGAGUGGCGAACGGGUGAGUAACACGUGGGUAAUCUGCCCUGCACUUCGGGAUAAGCCUGGGAAACUGGGUCUAAUACCGGAUAUGACCUUUUGGCGCAUGCCUUUUGGUGGAAAGCUUUUGCGGUGUGGGAUGGGCCCGCGGCCUAUCAGCUUGUUGGUGGGGUGAUGGCCUACCAAGGCGACGACGGGUAGCCGGCCUGAGAGGGUGUCCGGCCACACUGGGACUGAGAUACGGCCCAGACUCCUACGGGAGGCAGCAGUGGGGAAUAUUGCACAAUGGGCGCAAGCCUGAUGCAGCGACGCCGCGUGGGGGAUGACGGCCUUCGGGUUGUAAACCUCUUUCAGCAGGGACGAAGCGCAAGUGACGGUACCUGCAGAAGAAGCACCGGCCAACUACGUGCCAGCAGC
rnacentral:rRNA from 1 species